AGUGAACGCUGGCGGUAGGCCUAACACAUGCAAGUCGAACGGCAGCACAGUAAGAGCUUGCUCUUACGGGUGGCGAGUGGCGGACGGGUGAGGAAUACAUCGGACUCUACUUUUUCGUGGGGGAUAACGUAGGGAAACUUACGCUAAUACCGCAUACGACCUACGGUUGAAAGCAUGGGAUCUUCGGACCUUGCGCGAUUGAAUUAGCCGAUGUCGGAUUAGCUAGUUGGCGGGGUAAAGGCCCACCAAGGCGACGAUCCGUAGCUGGUCUGAGAGGAUGAUCAGCCACACUGGAACUGAGACACGGUCCAGACUCCUACGGGAGGCAGCAGUGGGGAAUAUUGGACAAUGGGCGCAAGACUGAUCCAGCCAUACCGCGUGGGUGAAGAAGGACUUCGGGUUGUAAAGCCCUGUUGUUGGGAAAGAAAAGCAGCAGGUUAAUAACCCGCUGUUAUGACGGUACACAAAGAAUAAGCACCGGCUAACUUAGUG
rnacentral:rRNA from 1 species